rnacentral:rRNA from 1 species
UACAGAGGUCUCAAGCGUUGUUCGGAUUCAUUGGGCGUAAAGGGUGCGUAGGCGGCUAUGUAAGUCGGGCGUGAAAUCCCACGGCUCAACCGUGGAAGUGCACCCGAAACUGCGUAGCUAGAGUCCUGGAGAGGAAGGUGGAAUGCUUGGUGUAGAGGUGAAAUUCGUAGAUAUCAAGCGGAACACCGGGUGGCCGAAGGCGGCCUUCUGGACAGUG